UUUGCUUUGUUAAGCUUAUUUCGUACUUUUGUUUGACUAAAACUUGGUUGAAAGUACAAAGAAAACAUAGAAAGGCAAGUAAUUUUUUUUUCUUUUUACUUCACUGAAAGCAAGGUCCAAAGUUGCCAAUCGUCUUAGAUGGGGAACCAAUCAUUGAUCAUUAAGGACCUAAAAAUUAACAUAAAUUUGGAAGAAGUGAUGUAUCUAUGAAACAAGAUAAUUUUAAACUCAAUUUAAACUCUAGUUUUUUCUUAGUGAAAAUGAAUAUUCUGUACUGGCCACCGCCGUUUUGAAGUUAGUUGAAACAGAACAGGCUAAAAUUUUUGAGUAAGCUGAAUUCAUAAUGAAGUUAAUCUUUAGUUAUUAAAUUUUCACAUAUUUCAAACCUUUGCAACAAACAUUGGAACCUUGUUUAAGUUCCAGUUUGUGAUGCAUCUAGAAGAUUGGCAAGGACAUUUUGUACACUCAGGAUUCAUUAGGCAUCAGGAUGACACAGUGGUAAAGGGGUAAUCUGUAUUCGGGUAGUAGACCAUCUUCAAAUCUAGACUUACUUCCUAGGCAUCUGAUUUUUGGCAGGUUUAUCUUCCCAAACUUAUGUCCCCUUACUUGUGAGGCACAUUUGUUGUUUCUCCCCUCAGCUCCUCACCCACCCCAGCAGUAGCCCUGGCACUUCUGGAGUCCUGGGAUGGAACCUGACCAGGGUGAACGUCAGGAAGUCCAGGACCUGGCCACAGUGACGAAACAGGGUGUUGCUACGUUGCCCAGGUUGGUCUUUGAACUCCUAGGCUUUAAGUGAACCUCCUACCUUUGUCUCCAAAGAAGCGAGUAGGUGGGAUUACAAAUGCAUACCACUAUGCCCAGAUUUUUUAGAAAAAGAUGGACCUGAAAACCUUCACAUGUGCAGAGCAUGCCGAGUACCUUCUCUGAGGGAGUGCUGAGUGCCCUGGGUUAAGCAUGACAUGAUUAUUUUAGAAUGUCAGAAACCCUAAUUGGAUGUUCCAGGCAUGGUGGUGACAGAGGGGAAGAGAAAAUGUUUGAGAAGGGUACCAAUGUGCUUAGAAUGGUUGAAAUGCACUUUUGUACCCCACUAUGCUGAAGAAGGAAGCUGUGUGUGUGUUGUGUUUAAGAUCGGUUGUACAAACAUCGGGACAAAGGGUGAUGUCACCUGUGCAAGUCCAAGGAAGGGCAGCUGGGAUGGCAGGGCUUCCAUUUCAGUGGAAAACACUGAUGUGAAGGGAAAAUCUUGUAUCUUGUCUGUGUGGAAGGCAAUCAGGGGAAGUAGUAGUGCUGAUGUUCAGUCUGUUCAGCUUUCUCCUUGUUGUGAAGAUGGAAGUGAUGACUGCAAGUUCUUCCUGGCUCCUGGUGAAAAUCGGAAUUUAGGAAUCCAGAGAGGUUUUUGUUUGUUUGGCUUUUUUUCUUCUUUAACUGUCCUCUUGUUUUAUUAUUUUAUCUCCAUUCUGUGGAUAUUUUUUCUUUCUCCCUUACUCCCUUAUCAUCUCUUUUAGUCUUUUUACCUUUUAUAAUAAUUCCAGGAUUUCUUCUUUCACUCCCUUUGCUCUCUAGUACCUACUUUUUAUUUAGUUUACUUUUGCUUUCAUAAAUAAAUUUUUAGUAAGCUAUUGAGUUAUUUAGUUUAGGUAUUGUAUAUUUUCAUUUUGA